GGUCAAGUUAUUAAGGGUGCAGGGCGGAUGCCUUGGCACUAGGAGCCGAUGAAGGACGUGAUAAGCUGCGAUAAGCUUCGGGGAGUUGCACGUAAACUUUGAUCCGAAGAUUUCCGAAUGAGGAAACUCACUUAGAGUAAUGUCUAAGUAUCAUUAAGUGAAUACAUAGCUUAAUGAGGGGAACUCAGGGAACUGAAACAUCUAAGUACCUGAAGGAAGAGAAAGAAAUUCGAUUCCGUAAGUAGCGGCGAGCGAACGCGGAUUAGCCCAAACCAAUAAAGUUUUCUUUAUUGGGGUUGCGGACAUAUCAUAACGAAGAGGUAUCGUAAUUGAAGAGGUUUGGAAAGACCCACCACAGAAGGUAAUAGUCCUGUAUGUUAAACGAGAAGACUUCAGAUAUGAUCCAGAGUACCACGGGACACGUGAAACCCUGUGGGAAGCAGGAGGGACCACCCUCCAAGGCUAAAUACUACCUAGUGACCGAUAGCGUAUAGUACCGUGAGGGAAAGGUGAAAAGAACCCCGGGAGGGGAGUGAAAUAGAACCUGAAACCCUGCACUUACAAGCUGUGGAAGCACAUUUCUUGUGUGACCGCGUACUUUUUGUAGAACGGGCCAACGAGUUACGUUAAGUAGCAAGGUUAAGCACUUAAGGUGCGGAGCCGUAGCGAAAGCGAGUUUUAACUGAGCGUUCAGUUACUUGACGUAGACCCGAAACCGGGCGACCUACCCAUGAGCAGGAUGAAGCGAAAGUAAAAUUUCGUGGAGGUCCGAACCCACGAGCGUUGAAAAGCUCGGGGAUGACUUGUGGGUAGCGGUGAAAUUCCAAUCGAGCCCGGAGAUAGCUGGUUCUCCCCGAAAUAGCUUUAGGGCUAGCCUCAAGGUGAGAGAUACGGAGGUAGAGCACUGAAUGUCCUAGGGGGUAUUGCACCUACCGAAGACUAUCAAACUCCGAAUGCCGUCAUCUUAUACUUGGGAGUCAGACUGUGGGUGAUAAGAUUCAUAGUCGAAAGGGCAACAGCCCAGAUCGUCAGCUAAGGUCCCUAAAUGUAAGUUAAGUGGUAAAGGAUGUGGGAUUGCACAGACAACCAGGAUGUUGGCUUAGAAGCAGCCACUCAUUCAAAGAGUGCGUAAUAGCUCACUGGUCGAGUGAUCCUGCGCCGAAGAUUUCCGGGGCUAAAACUUACUACCGAAGCUACGGCAUCAGUAAUGAUGGGUAGGGGAGCUUCCCAUACGGGUUGAAGCAUGACCGUAAGGACAUGUGGACAGUAUGGGAGUGAGAAUGUUGGCAUGAGUAGCGAGAUGUGGGUGAGAAUCCCACAGGCCGUAAACCCAAGGUUUCCAGGGGAAGGUUCGUCCGCCCUGGGUUAGUCGGGACCUAAGCUGAGGCCGAAAGGCGUAGGUGAUGGACAACAGGUUGAUAUUCCUGUACUACCGAUAACCGUUUGAGAGAAGGGAUGACACAGUAGGAUAAGCUAAGCACACUGUUGGUUAUGUGUGCCCAAGCAUUGAGGCAGUCAAAGUAGGCAAAUCCGCUUUGAUAAUGCUGGGAUGUGAUGGGGAGCGAAAUUUAGUAGCGAAGUAGCUGAUUUCACACUGUCAAGAAAAGUCUCUAUCGAGGUUAAAGGUACCCGUACCGCAAACCGACACAGGUGGGUGAGGAGAGUAUCCUAAGGCCAGCGAGAGAACUGUUGUUAAGGAACUCGGCAAAAUGACCCCGUAACUUAGGGAUAAGGGGUGCCACCAUCAGGUGGCCGCAGAGAAUAGGCCCAAGCGACUGUUUACCAAAAACAUAGGUUUCUGCUAAGUCGCAAGACGAUGUAUAGGAGCUGACGCCUGCCCGGUGCUGGAAGGUUAAGGGGAUCUGUUAGAGCAAUCGAAGCAGUGAACUUAAGCCCCAGUAAACGGCGGCCGUAACUAUAACGGUCCUAAGGUAGCGAAAUUCCUUGUCGGGUAAGUUCCGACCCGCACGAAAGGCGUAACGAUUUGGGCACUGUCUCAACAACAGACUCGGUGAAAUUGUAAUUCCGGUGAAGAUGCCGGAUACCUGCGACAGGACGGAAAGACCCCAUGGAGCUUUACUGUAGCUUGACAUUGGGUCUUGGUACUACAUGUACAGGAUAGGUGGGAGGCUUUGAAACCAGGACGCCAGUUUUGGCGGAGCCAUCCUUGGGAUACCACCCUUGUAGUACUGGGACUCUAACCAUAGGCCAUGAAUCUGGUCUUGGGACACUGUCAGGUGGGCAGUUUGACUGGGGCGGUCGCCUCCCAAAAGGUAACGGAGGCGCUCAAAGGUUCUCUCAGUACGGUCGGAAAUCGUACGUAGAGUGUAAAGGCAAAAGAGAGCUUGAUUGCAAGACAUACAGGUCGAGCAAGGAUGAAAAUCGGACUUAGUGAUCCGGUGGUUCUGCGUGGAAGGGCCAUCGCUCAACGGAUAAAAGCUACCCUGGGGAUAACAGGCUUAUCUCCCCCAAGAGUCCACAUCGACGGGGAGGUUUGGCACCUCGAUGUCGGCUCAUCACAUCCUGGGGCUGUAGUAGGUCCCAAGGGUUGGGCUGUUCGCCCAUUAAAGUGGUACGCGAGCUGGGUUCAGAACGUCGUG
rnacentral:rRNA from 1 species